rnacentral:lncRNA from 1 species
GUAGUACUAAACUAGCUCGGGAUUUAACGGAGUAGCCCUCACCUUAGCAAUAGGGAAAUGUGGUAUCUAUGAACUCCAGAUGCUCAAAUAGACUCCAAAUCUGAAAUCAGGGCGAAAAAUCGAGUCAGAACACCUUUCGAACGGUUUAAAACGGGUCUGGUCAAGGUUUAUGGAAAAGUCAAUUCGAUGGUCAAAGGUCAAUCCGGUCAACUCUUGACCAGAAAUCAAUUUGUCCUAACCGACCGGUUUACCCUAACCGAAACGAAAUCAAUUUAAACCGGUCAAACCAGUCAAACCAGCGGUUAACCGAGUCAACCGAGUUGACUCACCGGGUCGACUCAGCCGAGUUGGCGAGUCGUCGGCGAGUCACCGGCGACGGUCACCGACGGCGACGGCGAUGGCUUACCGGUGGUGACGGCGGAAGACGGCGGCGACAGAAGGCGGAGCACGGCAACAGCGACGGCGUUCCGGUGGUGGUCUGGCGGCGGAGACGAUUUCUGGCGGCGGCGCGUGUAACUCACGCGCGCACAGAGGCGAAACUUCCGGAUGCUCUAGCGGCUUCGUCCGGACUCCGAUUGCGGCGUGGUCGGUGGCUACGGCUUCGUCUCGACGAGAGGAACACGAUGGUGGCUCUGCAUGCGCGAGAUUCUCAACGGUUAAGAAGAUAUGGCCGAUAUACUGAACGGACGAAAACAAAGCUUAAGAGGCGGCGGUUUCCGACGAUACUCAGCUGCGGUUGAUGGUGAUGACGAGCUUGACGAUGUCCUGGCGUGCGGUGGCUCCGGCGAGGACUUCUGGUGGCAGCAUGCAGUGGUUCCUAUCUUUCUUUCUCUCACUCUCUCUCUUUUUCACUUCUUCUUCUCUCUAACUUUUCUUAUUUCUUUUUGAUGCAGGUGGAGAAAACAAUGUGAAAAAUGAGGUAUUUAUAAACAAACAUUUUAGUCUUGAUGUAUUGCUUGGGUCUUAGCCGGCUAACGAGUUCCGAGAUCGAAAUUCGGAUCGUUACAAUUCUCCCCCACUUAUAAGGAAUUCGUCCCCGAAUUCAAGUUAUAAUCUGACAUGUCCAAUGUCAUCGUAACAAAACCUCGAAUAAUAAUCCUUGCUCGGCUCAGGUCUCCUCUUGAAUCCUAUUCCUCCCAACGAACCUUGACCAACAUCGUCACUAGAUACAUGGUCACCACUCCCUAGACUGAUUUCACUUGCUGACCAAUAAAGAGAUAUGUUCCCAUAUAUUUUGGUUAAGCUUCUUUAGAUUCCGAGUCUUUGAUUCUUCUUGAAACAUCCUCCUUCAGAUUUAUUAGGUCGCCAACUUCAAAAUCCAAAUCCUUACGGCGCUUAUCCACGUAACUCUUUUGACGGUCAUGGGCUUCCUAACCUAAGCUUCGAGCAUUUCCAUUUGCUCUACCGUCUCUUGAAUCAUUGCUGAUUCCAUCUCACGUCUCUCCCCCACUUUGGUCCAACAAAGUGGUGUACGACUAGACCCACCAUAAAAACCUCGACGAUACCAUCAUAAUACUCAAAUGAUAACAGGUAUAUCGCGAUGAAUCUUGAUCGUUCCCAAGCUCUCCAUAACAACAAUCUGAAUCUGCUUAUAUUUCGGUUAGAAGAUCCCCCAAAAAAAAAACUAAAACUUAACCAAACGCGAACUCACAAAACUAUAAAAAGCUCUUAAGUCAAAUAAGGUGUGAGGUAACUCACACCAACCACAACCAAUCAUACACGAUAUUCACUAAUCUCGAACUAUACAAGAUAACCACAAAACCACAAAUAUUAACACAAGCAAGUAUGUUAAGAACACAUACCCGCUUUCGGCUCAGCUCCAUGGGGAUCUCCAACCGCAAACGCACGUGGAGCGAUGGCUAGACGCUUCGGUGGUGGUGGAAGUGCCGCAUUGCCCCUCCUCGGGCAAUCUCUGAUGAAGUGACCUGGCUGACCACAGCCAAAGCAGACAUGUGCCGCUGCUGGUGCUGCUGGUGCUGCAAUCUGUCUGACUGGUGGCGCAACCUGAGCAUCAAAUAGCCUACUCCGACAAACCCUACUCUUAUGUCCCAUCUUUCCACAGUAAAAGCACUGUAUGCUCGGUUUGUCCCAUGUCCUCUGCUGUGCCUCUGAAGUCCCUCCAAACUUAGGCUGAACUGCCUUGGAGUACUUCUGCUCCUCUGCCAAACCUGCCUCCUGCUCGGCAGCCUUCUCCACCAAAUCUCCCAAUCUGUGAUAAGUGACGACACGGCACCUGUUGCGAAUCUCCACUCGCAUCCCAUUCAAAAAUUUUCUCAUCAGGUCUUCCUCUAAAAUGCCCUCUCCAGCAAAUCUGCGAAGUUGGUUAAACACAACCUCAUACUCCCUGAUAGACAUCUCACCCUGGCUUACAUGCUCGAACUCGCAUUUCUUCCUAUCCAUAGCUUCCUUCGGAAAGUAUUUCCUAUCGAACUCUCGGAUGAAGUCUGCGAAGGUAAGCCUCUCUGGCCCAAGGUGACUCAAUCGUAUUCCCUCCCACCAUAUAAGAGCAUCUCCACGAAGGUACUGCAUAGUCAAUCUGAGCGACAACUCUGGUGGACACUCAAUAAUCUCCAGCUUCCGCUGCAAGGCUAACUUCCAAUCAUGUGCAGCUACAGCAUCCACUGUCCCACUAAAAUGCUCCAUAUCCAUGUUCCUCAUCUGACGCGUCAGCCUGUAGAACCUCUCAUCAUAAACCGGGUAAACAUGAGGUCGCGGUGGUGGUGGUGGUAGAUCCUGAACACCAUGAGCAAACUGCUGAGCUGGUCCGUGCUGCAGUGGAACCUGAGGAAGGGGAACCUGCUGAACGGGAUCCUGAUGAUCAUGCUGAGCGGGAAUCUGCUGAUCCUGCUGGACCUGAACCGGUGGAACUUGCUGAACCCGAAUCUGUCGACCCUGCUGCACCUGAACCUGAGGACCCUGUUGAACGGCAGCCAUCUGACGAGCAACCUCCUGAGCAGCUACUCGGGCAGCCUCUGAGCGGCCUGCCUGGCUGCCUCCUGGGCAAUCUGCUGAAGUGCCUCCUGAGCGGCCUGUCUAGCGGCAUCCUGAACCAUUGUCUCAAUGCAUCCUGAUCAACUGGUGGAGCCGCGGGUGGCGGAACUGCGGGCUGCUCAUGCUCAUCUACAUCGUCUCUAACAGCUCUGGCGGUCUGGGCACGGGUGGUUCUUCUCCUUGGCGGCAUCUGAAAGGAAAGCGAAAUGUUAACUUACGCUCAACUUUUGAUACCAACAUUUAAGGAGAAGUGAUAUCGAACGGAAAGGUGCUAUUUAUUUUCAUUUUCAAAAUUCCCAAAUCCCCAAAAAUAUUUUGAAAUCGUCUAAAACUGUUAAAAUCGAAUAAAACCGAAUAAAACCAGGUCUCCAAAAUCGCCAUCCCGGGUCGGAGCCGGGACGGAACCCCGCUCUGAUACCAAAACUGUGACACCCGUCACUUUCGAAAUAAUAAUAAAAAUGAUGCGAUAAAUAAUAGUUUCUGAAAUCUUCAUUUAUAAAUAUAAAAGUCAACGUCCACGCUGUAAAUCCAUAAUAUAAAAUAACAUCCGAAAUAUAGAUAACGGUAUAAGUCCGAAAUAUAAAGACAACAUAAAUUCGUAAGUCUGAAAUAGGAAAUAACAUAAACGAUAAAAGCCCAAAGGCCUAAAAUCCCGAUAACGAUAAAAGCGAUAGAAGCCCAAAAGUCCAAUAGCACCGGUCCGAUAAUCACUCCUGCUCGUCGGUCUCACCUGAAAAGAAGGAGGGGUGAGCAACAGGGGAGUUGCCCAGCGAGGUAUGGGAUGCUAAACCGCAAACCACAGACUGAGUUCAUAGCACUACUAAAAUGUAGGCAUAGCUCUAGCAUGAAACAAACACGGUGCCUAUUACACCCCACAGAACAAUCAAUAUGCGGCUAGAGGACUAGCCGUUACAACUCAUGCGCUUAUAGUACAUAGCUACUCUAUGCACCACGCAUCUCCUCAUAAGGAUAUAUACAUAUACUCGAAGCGUCGCUAGUACAGUCUGUCUCUGUACCCCCGCCCAUCGUAGCGUCAAAUGCAAACGUCUCUGCACCACGCCCCAAACAGUAGCGUCGAAGCUCAAACGUCUCUGAACUCACGCCCAUACCAUACCGUAGCGUCGAAGCUCAGACAUCUCUGAACUCACGCCCUCAUCACAUAAUCCCUACUCAUAACUAUGUAUAUACAUAUAUAUAGCAGUUCUUAGCAUCAAUCAUUUCACACAAUCGCUGAAUCCUCUAUUAUCCUAAUUCCGGUUAACAAUCAAUAUCAAUAAUGAACAAGCAAGACUCUCAAACAGACUCGAUUCACAGAGACGGAUCAUGUUUCGAAACUAAACUUUCCAUAAUGGUAGUACUAAACUAGCUCGGGAUUUAACGGAGUAGCCCUCACCUUAGCAAUAGGGAAAUGUGGUAUCUAUGAACUCCAGAUGCUCAAAUAGACUCCAAAUCUGAAAUCAGGGCGAAAAAUCGAGUCAGAACACCUUUCGAACGGUUUAAAACGGGUCUGGUCAAGGUUUAUGGAAAAGUCAAUUCGAUGGUCAAAGGUCAAUCCGGUCAACUCUUGACCAGAAAUCAAUUUG